rnacentral:rRNA from 1 species
GACAAACGCUGGCGGCGUGCAUAAAACAUGCAAGUCGAACGGACUUCAGUCCGCAAGGACUGAAGUGAGUGGCGAACGGCUGAGUAACACGUAGGUGACCUGCCCCGAAGUUUGGGAUAACAACUCGAAAGAGUUGCUAAUACCGGAUGUGACCACCGAUUCAUUUCGGUGCUUAAAGUCGCAAGACGCUUUGGGAGGGGCCUGCGGCGGAUUAGCUAGUUGGUGUGGUAACGGCAUACCAAGGCUUCGAUCCGUAGCUGGUCUGAGAGGAUGGCCAGCCAGACUGGGACUGAGACACGGCCCAGACUCCUACGGGAGGCAGCAGUAAGGAAUAUUGGUCAAUGGACGCAAGUCUGAACCAGCCAUGCCGCGUGAAGGAUGAAGGCCCUCGUGGGUUUGUAAACUUUCUUUUUAUCUUGGGAAAGAAAUGCCUUGUUUUUAACGGGUUUGACGGUACCAGAGGAAUAAGCACCGGCUAACUCCGUGCCAGCCGCCGCUAGU